rnacentral:lncRNA from 1 species
AGGCCAGUGACAUCACAAGCAUUAACCCACUUUAUCCUCCUGAUCCAGUAAAGCAGGUAUUCCUAGUUCUGGUUCAUAAAAGAAGAAAGUCAGCUAAUAGGAGUCAAGGAACUUGCCAAAGGUUAAAGUGUGGGUGGGACCAUUCCUCCUUUGCCUGACUUCCAAGAAAUGCCUUUGUAUGUUUCACCUCCUCCAUAGCUGCUUCAGGAAUAUUGCAGGAACAGAAAAGGAAUUGGAGCCAUGCACUAACCCAAUGGGGACAUCCAACGAGUCUUUCUAUUGGGUGUCACAUCAACAGAAGAAUAAGAGUCAGAAACUGGACCAUCCAGGAAACCCCAGGAAGGGUACAUCCAGAAGAAAGGUGGAAGAAGGAGAAGAAGGUGAGGUAAGGGCACCAGUGGGGUGUGUGGCAUGAGCCUUGGACAGAAAUGAGGUUGGGAAGUGGGAGAAAGCCACAGCAAGGACUGGGAUGGGA